GAUGAACGCUGGCGGCGUGCCUAAUACAUGCAAGUCGAGCGAACAGACGAGGAGCUUGCUCCUCUGACGUUAGCGGCGGACGGGUGAGUAACACGUGGAUAACCUACCUAUAAGACUGGGAUAACUUCGGGAAACCGGAGCUAAUACCGGAUAAUAUAUUGAACCGCAUGGUUCAAUAGUGAAAGACGGUUUUGCUGUCACUUAUAGAUGGAUCCGCGCCGCAUUAGCUAGUUGGUAAGGUAACGGCUUACCAAGGCAACGAUGCGUAGCCGACCUGAGAGGGUGAUCGGCCACACUGGAACUGAGACACGGUCCAGACUCCUACGGGAGGCAGCAGUAGGGAAUCUUCCGCAAUGGGCGAAAGCCUGACGGAGCAACGCCGAGUGAGUGAUGAAGGUUUUCGGAUCGUAAAACUCUGUUAUUAGGGAAGAACAAAUGUGUAAGUAACUAUGCACGUCUUGACGGUACCUAAUCAGAAAGCCACGGCUAACUACGUG
rnacentral:rRNA from 1 species